UACGGAGGGUGCAAGCGUUAUCCGGAUUCACUGGGUUUAAAGGGUGCGUAGGUGGGUUGGUAAGUCAGUGGUGAAAUCUCCGAGCUUAACUUGGAAACUGCCAUUGAUACUAUCUGUCUUGAAUAUCGUGGAGGUAAGCGGAAUAUGUCAUGUAGCGGUGAAAUGCUUAGAUAUGACAUAGAACACCAAUUGCGAAGGCAGCUUACUACCCGAAUAUUGACACUGAGGCACGAAAGCGUGGGGAUCAAACAGG
rnacentral:rRNA from 1 species